CCCUUAGACGUUCUGGGCCGCACGCGCGCUACACUGACGAAGGCAACGAGCUUUCCUUUACCGAAAGGUACGGGUAAUCUUUUGAAACUUCGUCGUGCUGGGGAUAGAUCCUUGCAAUUUUUGAUCUUAAACGAGGAAUGCCUAGUAAGCGCAAGUCAUCAACUUGAGUUGAUUACGUCCCUGCCCUUUGUACACACCGCCCGUCGCUACUACCGAUUGAAUGGUUUAGUGAGGCCUUCGGAUCCGCGACUCGUUUGUGGAGAAGUUGGACAAACUCAGUCAUUUAGAGGAAGUAAAAGUCGUAACA
rnacentral:rRNA from 1 species